rnacentral:rRNA from 1 species
GGUAGUAAAAGCUUGCUCCUGGAUUCAGCGGCGGACGGGUGAGUAAUGCCUAGGAAUCUGCCUGGUAGUGGGGGACAACGUUUCGAAAGGAACGCUAAUACCGCAUACGUCCUACGGGAGAAAGCAGGGGAGGUACCCUUCGGGCCUUGCGCUAUCAGAUGAGCCUAGGUCGGUACCAGGAUUAGCUAGUUGGUGAGGUAAUGGCUCACCAAGGCGACGAUCCGUAACGUCUGAGAGGAUGAUCAGUCACACUGGAACUGAGACACGGUCCAGACUCCUACGGGAGGCAGCAGUGGGGAGGUACCAAAUAUUGGACAAUGGGCGAAAGCCUGAGCCAUGCCGCGUGUGUGAAGAAGGUCUUCGGAUUGUAAAGCACUUUAAGUUGGGAGGAAGGGUUGUAGAUUAAUACUCUGCAAUUUUGACGUUACCGACAGAAUAAGCACCGGCUAACUCUGUGCCAGCAGCCGCGGUAAUACAGAGGGUGCAAGCGUUAAUCGGAAUUUGACCAAAUACUGGGCGUAAAGCGCGCGUAGGUGGUUUGUUAAGUUGGAUGUGAAAUCCCCGGGCUCAACCUGGGAUGCAUCCAAGACUGGCAAGCUAGAGUAUGGUAGAGGGUGGUGGGUAGUCAAGGAAUUUCCUGUGUAGCGGUGAAAUGCGUAGAUAUAGGAAGGAACACCAGUGGCGAAGGCGACCACCUGGACUGAUACUGACACUGAGGUGCGAAAGCGUGGGAAUGGGGAGCAAACAGGAUUAGAUACCCUGGUAGUCCACGCCGUAAACGAUGUCAACUAGCCGUUGGGAGCCUUGAGCUCUUAGUGGCGCAGCUAACGCAUUAAUGACCGCCUGGGGAGUACAACCCAGUGCGCAAGGUUAAAACUCAAAUGAAUUGACGGGGGCCCGCACAAGCGGUGGAGCAUGUGGUUUAAUUCGAAGCAACGCGAAGAACCUUACCAGGCCUUGACAUCCAAUGAACUUUCCAGAGAUGGAUUGGUGCCUUCGGGAACAUUGAAGCCAGUAGACAGGUGCUGCAUGGCUGUCGUCAGCUCGUGUCGUGAGAUGUUGGGUUAAGUCCCGUAACGAGCGCAACCCUUGUCCUUAGUUACCAGCGGUACCAACGUAAUGGUGGGCACUCUAAGGAGACUGCCGGUGACAAACCGGAGGAAGGUGGGGAUGACGUCAAGUCAUCAUGGCCCUUACGGCCUGGGCUACACACGUGCUACAAUGGUCGGUACAGGUACCAAAGGGUUGCCAAGCCGCGAGGUGGAGCUAAUCCCAUAAAACCGAUCGUAGUCCGGAUCGCAGUCUGCAACGACUGCGUGAAGUCGGAAUCGCUAGUAAUCGCGAAUCAGAAUGUCGCGGUGAAUACGUUCCCGGGCCCCAGUGGUCA